AGGCUAGCGGACUGCGGCUCCCGCCUGGCCGCUUUUCUCUGAGGCCCCCUACUUUCUCUGAAACCCCCAUAACUUCCCUGCUCAUUCCUUUCCUACUCCCCCGACCCAUCCUGCCUGUCAAUACCUAAAACCCGCCUCACUAGGACCCUUAAAAUUUCCAAAUAAUAGGUCCCUACUGACACAUCAACUUUUAACAUCUAAUGUCACAAAGACACCCUCACCCUACCCCAGUCCGCCCCUGGCUCGCCCUUUCUGCCUCAGGGACCCUCUCAAGCACCGUGAUUCUUAUUUAAGGAGCAUGGUUGUAAGGCCAGGGUGGUUAGGUUACUGACAAUAGUUUAAGGUUUCGCCCUUGCGACAUUCCUGCAGGAAAAGUUUUGCAUGCCUUUGUAGCUAUUUUCUGACAUUUUCUUGAAUUCACCCCCCUUUCUCCUGCCUUCUUUUAUUUUUUCUUUUUUAUUUCUUUCCGUAUAAUCUGCUUCUCAAUACAUAGGGGACGGGUACCGCUACACACACCCUUGGAACCGCAGGAUAGCGGGUGUUCAUUUUGACAUUUUAAAACCUUUACAGCAGCUAAUUUGUCUGGCGCCUUCCAUAGAAUUUCCCCUUUCUUUAUGGGAAAUGAAGUCUGGAAUGCUUAGGACGGGUUGAAACUAACCAGGCAAAGAUUUGCAAGGCAAAAGAUGCGCUCUGCUGCGGGAGAACUUCAGGGUGCCUGUAUGCUACCUCCACCGCAUCGAAAGCCUCUUCCCCUUUUUAACACCUGUGUGGUAGCCUAAUCUGAUGGUUUUGACAAGCCAUGUAGGUUGGAUGGAGAGAGAGGGAGGGAAGGAGAGAGGGAGGAAGGGAGUGAGGGAGUGAGGGAGGGAGAGAGAGAGAGAGAGAGAGAGAGAGAGAGAGAGAGAAUGCUGCAAAGUGCUACCAGCUCUGGGUGUGGUCUUCCGGAAGAGAACUCAGCGUGGAGCCUGCUGAAACAGCCUGCUGAAAUUCACAGGGAAGUGCUUAAAAGAAAACAUGUCGUUUAACAUAAAGGGCAUCGGAUUUAAAGCCCUACGUUCUGAAAGUGAUGCAUCACGGGUGUGCCGCAGGACUGUAUUGGACUUUAGGCUGCAGCAGAGGGGCAGAUGACACAUGGAUGCAUUAAAGAUGAGAAGCUUGUUUCCAUUCAGAGCAUGUUCAUCGCUGGAGCUGACAGGAACUUUGUGCUGUCUGAACAUAAAUGAUGGUGAUGGGGCCAGACCCCUAAAAGCUUGUUCCAUGGAAGUAGCCAAGGUAAUGUCUUUUCUCCCCAGAGGCCUGCUCCACGGUGCCUCACCCUCCAUCACAGUCACCAGUAGGAGUCCGAGGCUCUGCUGUAGACAGUGCUCCAGGCAGGUCACUGCUGCAGGUCAGACCUGACAAUGCUAACCCUGUUUGUUCACUUGCAUUUUCCUGACUGCAGAGAAAUACAUGCUGUUUCUGCAAUCUAGGUCGUAACUGGCUACAAAACUAGCCUUGCCGCACCUGGAUUUCUUUGCUGACCUCUACUGUGUUUAAUAAAUCAAUGGGAGGAAUGUGAGGCGUAAAACUUUCAUAGAGGAUAAGCAUUUCCACCUGCCAGAGACAGAGCCUGAGGCUAGCGCCCUCGCAGCCCUGCUGGAGCCCAGCCAGGGCAGCAGUUCACCCCCCUCACCAGCUCUUCUUGCUGCAAGAUGGCAGCAGAUGCUAUUCAGUCGCAAAGGGGCGGAUCCCGGGACUCUGAAGACACUGCAGGCCCGCUUCUGAAAAUCCUGUGUCUGUCAGGAUCUUGGGUAAGUUAAACAUUAAGGCACCGUCUGCGUUAGAAAAGUCGUGGCUAAAUGUUUAUUGAUUGAUGAAAUAACUCACAUGUUCAUACACACAUUGAGUCACAAAAUGUCAACAAAACGCCCAGAACGUGCAGAAAUCUAUACAUGUGUCUUAGAGGGUGCGGAGAGUCGCAGCCCAGCCCCAUUCUUCAAAGGGAACCAGAAAUGGCUGAGUAGGAUCAGAGAAGCCGAUACUGCAAAUACAUGGCACAAAUGAACAUCAGAAAAGAGAAAGCUGGGCUGACUGCAAAAAAUCUUUGAUAAAGGAUUACGUGCUCCAUGUUUCUAUUUCCAUGAAAUUCUACAAAUUAACCUGUGCAAGGAAAACUGCAGCAGUGGCUGCUUCUCCGAAGAAGAAGGAACUCUCCGCAUGGUGAUUCCAUUUUUUCUUGGGCACUUCGGACUGUGAGUUUGGGGUUCACCUUUGUCAGGAUGCCAUGAAUUUUAUUGAAUAUAUUUGUGUCCAAAGAAAUAAAUAAAGCUACAUAUAUGUCCA
rnacentral:sRNA from 1 species